AACACACCCAAGAAGACUGAAUAGAGCCUCAUCCAGGGCAAAGAUGAUGAGUGAGAUCUGAUCCGAAAGCAAUUGUUGAGGUCCAAUCCCACAUGCAGCAUACUAAAGCUGUGGGACUUCAGAGGAAGAGACAGUCUGGGACUUUGGAUUAGUAACAUGAUGUGAUCGGAGGAAGUUAAAACUUUGUCUCCUUCCCAUGUCAUCUACAUAUGAAAACUAGAGACAAGGACACAGAAAUAGGAGAUGAAGCAGAUUUGAAAAGCCACCAGAGCUCUGAGAGGAGUGGUGCCCAUUCCCUGUCACACCGUCACCGUUCUCACCUGUGGCUGACUGCAGCACCCAAAGCUCAACCAGCUGCAGUCUAUCACCAACAUGAAGUUGCUCCUAGAGCACUCUUUGUUCCUUUAAAAAUGAUAAAAUAGUACAAGCACGCAGGAGUAUAGAGAAUAUUGUCCCUAUGUCUCCAUAUUUUCUUCAGCUGAUGUUUUAAAAGACUAGAACAUUGUUAACCCUCACCUGUGCCAUUUCCUGCCUUCUUCCUGCUCUUCUGAAAUUGGUAUUUAUGUUUUCCAUGUAUGUUUUUAUACUUUUACUAUACAUGUAAGUAUCCACACAUAAUAGAUAUGGUUUUGCAAGCUUUCAAACUUUAUAUAAAUGGUGUCAUACUGUAUCCUUUGUGUGUUUUUCAUUCACUGUUGUAUUUCUGAGGUUUAUCCCUAUUGAUACAAGAUCAACUUCAUUAUUAUUUAUUUAUUCAUUCUUUUUCUGAAGGGUGCUAAGAUUGUGUCCCAUUUUUUACUGUUAGAAAUAAUGCUAUAACAUUAUUUACAAUGUAUGUUCUGUAGCCAUGUCCUUAAACACAGGUGUUCCACUCUCUGUGAUCAUCGCGUCUCUCAGACCUGCUCCUCACCUGGCCUAGGCUCUGCUCUGGGGUCACCCUUCCUCAGCAUGGCAACUUGGCUCUUGAAGACCAAGUUGCACUUGAAGACCAGGUCUUACUCACCAGAAUUCUCCCUGGAUCAUCCUUGUCAGGGAUUCCUACCCCACCUUGCCACCCACACCCGGCCCCUCCUAAAGGGAAUGUUCUUUGGCAGGAACGAAGGGCAUAUGUUAGGUCAUACGGUGAGGAGACUUCAUGUGAGUGCUCAAUAUUAACUGGAACUCAGAGGAGGCUUGGUUCCCAGUGGGAAGGAGAAAUGGGAGAGUUUUCUUGGCGAAGGGACAGCAAGAGCCAGCAUAGGCAAAGGAACGUGGUAGUGUCAGGAGAGGACCACGUAAAGAGCUGGCCAGCAGAUGGAAGCUGAGUGCUGCUGGAGAGUAGGAGGCUGGAUUAGUAACGUGAUGUGAACUGAGGAAGUUAAAGGUUUGUGUCCUCCAUCAGAUUACUGCAUUUCAGCUUUGUAGAAGGAAGUGGCAGGUUGGGCAGUGCCAGUGGCAGGGAUGAUGGUGGCCUGGAGACCCUUGAGGGGCAGAAACAGUGGCUUACUCCUGUGCUUCUGUGGUCUGUUUCCUCACUUUGCCCCAUCCAUCAAGUGUUGAGGCUCGGUGGAGUUGAGCUUCCUUUUCCCUCCAUCACUCACAUCCCACUUCCCAUCACCUGCUUCCAAGCAAGAGAACUCCAGGUUACUGGCCUCCGGCAGCAGUCCAGCUGUUACCAGUAAACUGGAAGCUGACGUCACUAACAAGCAUUCAGGGAGCACCAAGAAGCAGACCAGAGGUCUCCUAAGCUUGACUCCUCUUCGGCAUGAGACUAAGGAAGCUCCCCAAGUUCCAGUCAGAGGUCUGAAUUUGUGAAUUUGCUGAGGCUGAUAGGACAGUGUGGGCUGUCCCUGAAAGUUGGAGGAGGUGACAACAAGGUUGGGGGCCUUCCAUAUGGGUGCCUGCUGUACCACAUAUCCAGUAAAAACAGAACAUUUACGAAUGCAGGCUUAUGGAAGAGUCUUGCCCUAACAGAAAAACAGGGAUGAGGCUGGGAAGAGGAUAAAGU
rnacentral:lncRNA from 10 species